rnacentral:rRNA from 1 species
AUUGAACGCUGGCGGCGUGCCUUACACAUGCGAGUCGAACGGCAGCACGGGAGCAAUCCUGGUGGCGAGUGGCGAACGGGUGAGUAAAGUAUCGGAACGUGCCCAGUCGUGGGGGAUAACGUAGCGAAAGUUACGCUAAUACCGCAUACGAUCUAUGGAUGAAAGCGGGGGAUCGCAAGACCUCGCGCGAUUGGAGCGGCCGAUAUCAGAUUAGGUAGUUGGUGGGGUAAAGGCUCACCAAGCCGACGAUCUGUAGCUGGUCUGAGAGGACGACCAGCCACACUGGGACUGAGACACGGCCCAGACUCCUACGGGAGGCAGCAGUGGGGAAUUUUGGACAAUGGGCGAAAGCCUGAUCCAGCCAUGCCGCGUGCAGGAUGAAGGCCUUCGGGUUGUAAACUGCUUUUGUACGGAACGAAAAGGUUUGGCCUAAUAAGCUGAGCUCAUGACGGUACCGUAAGAAUAAGCACCGGCUAACUACGUGCCAGCAGCCGCCGUAA